rnacentral:tRNA from 1 species
GGGGGUGUAGCUCAGAUGGGAGAGCGCCAGCUUUGCAAGCUGGAUGCCGUGGGUUCGAUUCCCUCCACCUCCACCA